rnacentral:rRNA from 1 species
GACGAACGCUGGCGGCGUGCUUAACACAUGCAAGUCGAACGGAAAGGCCCUGCUUUUGUGGGGUGCUCGAGUGGCGAACGGGUGAGUAACACGUGAGUAACCUGCCCUUGACUUUGGGAUAACUUCAGGAAACUGGGGCUAAUACCGGAUAGGAGCUCCUGCUGCAUGGUGGGGGUUGGAAAGUUUCGGCGGUUGGGGAUGGACUCGCGGCUUAUCAGCUUGUUGGUGGGGUAGUGGCUUACCAAGGCUUUGACGGGUAGCCGGCCUGAGAGGGUGACCGGCCACAUUGGGACUGGGAUACGGCCCAGACUCCUACGGGAGGCAACAGUGGGGAAUAUUCACAAUGGGCGGAAGCCUGAUGCAGCAACGCCGCGUGCGGGAUGACGGCCUUCGGGUUGUAAACCGCUUUCGCCUGUGACGAAGCGUGAGUGACGGUAAUGGGUAAAGAAGCACCGGCUAACUACGUG